rnacentral:rRNA from 1 species
GUAUCUGUGCGGGAUUAACUAACACAUGCAAGUCGGGCGGUAACAGGAAAGCGCUUGCGCUUUUGCUGACGAGCGGCGGACGGGUGAGUAAUGUCUGGGGAUCUGCCCGAGGGCGGGGGAUAACCACUGGAAACGGUGGCUAAUACCGCAUAAUGUCGCGAGACCAAAGUGGGGGACCUGAAAGGGCCUCACGCCGUCGGAUGAACCCAGAUGGGAUUAGCUGGUAGGUAGGGUAAUGGCCUACCUAGGCGACGAUCUCUAGCUGGUCUGAGAGGAUGACCAGCCACACUGGGACUGAGACACGGCCCAGACUCCUACGGGAGGCAUCAUUGGGGAAUAUUGCACAAUGGGCGCAAGCCUGAUGCAGCCAUGCCACGUGUAUGAAGAAUGCCUUCGGGUUG